rnacentral:rRNA from 1 species
UACGGAGGGGGCUAGCGUUGUUCGGAAUUACUGGGCGUAAAGCGCACGUAGGCGGAUUGGUCAGUCAGAGGUGAAAUCCCAGGGCUCAACCCUGGAACUGCCUUUGAUACUGGAAGUCUUGAGUCCGAGAGAGGUGAGUGGAACUCCGAGUGUAGAGGUGAAAUUCGUAGAUAUUCGGAAGAACACCAGUGGCGAAGGCGGCUCACUGGCUCGGUACUGACGCUGAGGUGCGAAAGCGUGGGGAGCAAACAGGAUUAGAUACCCGGUGUAGUCC